GACGAACGCUGGCGGCGUGCCUAAUACAUGCAAGUAGAACGCUGAAGAGAGGAGCUUGCUCUUCUUGGAUGAGUUGCGAACGGGUGAGUAACGCGUAGGUAACCUGCCUUGUAGCGGGGGAUAACUAUUGGAAACGAUAGCUAAUACCGCAUAACAAUGGGUGACACAUGUCAUUUAUUUGAAAGGGGCAAUUGCUCCACUACAAGAUGGACCUGCGUUGUAUUAGCUAGUAGGUGAGGUAACGGCUCACCUAGGCGACGAUACAUAGCCGACCUGAGAGGGUGAUCGGCCACACUGGGACUGAGACACGGCCCAGACUCCUACGGGAGGCAGCAGUAGGGAAUCUUCGGCAAUGGGGGCAACCCUGACCGAGCAACGCCGCGUGAGUGAAGAAGGUUUUCGGAUCGUAAAGCUCUGUUGUAAGUCAAGAA
rnacentral:rRNA from 1 species